rnacentral:lncRNA from 1 species
AGCGCUGCAGACACUCUUCCUUCCGGAGGUAGUUGUUGCUGUUCCCCCGACAGCCGCCGUAGGUGAAGGGCCGGCAGUCGCGGUGUUGGGGGCUGUGGUACCACCGCCGGAACGCGGCGCGGCACGGCCCGGUGACGGGGGGGGCGGCGCACUGCUCUGCGGGGGUCACCUGACGUCACCCGGCGGUGUCACCCCGCAACGUCACCCGGUUGUCACCCAGUGUCACCUGGUUGUGUCACCCAGCGUCGUCACCCGGCGGUGUCACCCCGCAACGUCACCCGGUUGUCACCCCGUGUCACCUGGUUGUGUCACCCAGUGUCAUCACCCGGCGGUGUCACCCCGCAACGUCGCCCGGUUGUCACCCCGUGUUGUCACCCGGCGGUGUCACUCCACAAUGUCACCCGGUUGUCACCCAGUGUCACCUGGUUGUGUCACCCCGCAAUGUCACCCGGUUGUCAAUCAGUAUCACCCGGCACUGUCACCCUGCAAUGUCACCCACUUGUCACCCAGUGUUGUCACCCGGCGGUGUCACCCCGCAAUGUCGCCCGGUUGUCACCCAGUGUUGUCACCCCUCAACGUCACCCGGUUGUCACCCCCUAUCACCUGGUUGUGUCACCCAGUGUCAUCACCCGGCGGUGUCACCCAGCAAUGUCACCCGGUUGUCACCCAGUAUCACCUGGCGGUGUCACCUGGUUGUGUCACCCAGCGUCGUCACCUGGCGGUGUCACCCCGCAAUGUCACCCGGUUGUCACCCAGUGUCACCUGGUUGUGUCACCCAGUGUCGUCACCUGGCGGUGUCACCUGGCAAUGUCACCUGGUUGUCACCCAGUAUCACCUGGCGGUGUCACCUGGUUGUGUCACCCAGUGUCAUCACCUGGCGGUGUCACCCCGCAACGUCGCCCGGUUGUCACCCCGUGUCACCUGGUUGUGUCACCCAGCGUCGUCACCCGGCGGUGUCACCCCGCAACGUCACCCGGUUGUCACCCCCUGUCACCUGG